UUUUUUAAAGCAAGUAAGGGCAAACGGUGGAUGCCUUGGGUCUGAGAGGCGAUGAAGGACGUGGUAAGCUGCGAUAAGCUACGGGGAGCUGCACACGAGCGUUAUAUCCGUAGAUUUCCGAAUGGGACAACCCGCUAUGUUGAAGACAUAGCACUUCGAAAGAAGAGCCAACCCGGAGAACUGAAACAUCUAAGUACCCGGAGGAAAAGAAAAUAA
rnacentral:rRNA from 1 species